CGGGGGGGGCAAGCGUUGUUCGGAAUUACUGGGCGUAAAGGGCUCGUAGGCGGCCAACUAAGUCAGACGUGAAAUCCCCAGGCUCAACCUGGGAACUGCGUCUGAUACUGGAUGGCUUGAAUCCGGGAGAGGGAUGCAGAAUUCCAGGUGUAGCGGUGAAAUGCGUAGAUAUCUGGAGGAAUACCGGUGGCGAAGGCGGCAUCCUGGACCGGCAUUGACGCUGAGGAGCGAAAGCCAGGGGAGCAAACGGGAUUAGAUACCCCGGUAGUCCUGGCCCUAAACGAUGAAUGCUUGGUGUAACGGGUAUCGAUCCCUGUUGUGCCGAAGCUAACGCAUUAAGCAUUCCGCCUGGGGAGUACGGUCGCAAGGCUG
rnacentral:rRNA from 1 species